AGAGUUUGAUCAUGGCUCAGAUUGAACGCUGGCGGCAUGGCUAAAACAUGCAAGUCGAACGUGCCCGCAAGGGAAAGUGGCGGAAGGGUGAGUAAUGCGAUCCUACGUGCCCCGAGGUGGAGGAUAGCGGUGGGAAACUGCCGGUAAUACUCCAUGUGCUCGAGAGAGCAAAGGCUUGCCGCCUUGGGAGCGGGGAUCGUCCUAUCAGGUAGUUGGUGGGGUAAUGGCCCACCAAGCCGAAGACGGGUAGCCGGUAUGAGAGUACGGCCGGCCACAUCGGGACUGAGACACUGCCCGGACUCCUACGGGAGGCUGCAGUAACGAAUAUUCCGCAAUGGGCGAAAGCCUGACGGAGCAAUGCCGCGUGUGGGAUGAAGCGGCUUCGCCGUGUAAACCACUGUCAGAGAGUAGAAACACUGAUCGCUCUCAGAGGAAGGGGCGGCUAACCCUGUGCCAGCCGCCGCGGUAAUUC
rnacentral:rRNA from 1 species